CUCCUCCUCUCACAAGAAAAUAAAGAUAAUGUACUCAGAUAUCUGUUUUAGUAUUGAAAAAAGAAGGAAAGCAGUGAUGUUCUAAACCUUGAUUUAUUUGAUUCUUCCAGAAUUUGUAAUCGACUUUAGCAAAGUUAUUUGAUAAUUCUUUGCUAUUUGAAUUAAUGCUUGUUAUUAUGUACUGUAGGAUGAUUCUGGACAGAAGGUCUGGAUUUGCCCCGCCUGUAAGAUGCCGGACGACGGGAGCCCUAUGAUUGGCUGUGACAUCUGUGAUGACUGGUAUCAUUGGCCUUGUGUUGGACUUAAGGAAGAGCCUGCUGAAGAAGAACACUGGUACUGCUCUAAGUGUAUGGGGAGGAACAAAAAGCCCUCCAAACGGGGGCGGGGGAGAGGGAGGGGCAGGGGGCCAGGCAGGGGGAAGAAAAAGAUGAUGUAAAUAUCAAAAGGAAGUUAAAAGAGGAAUUUAAAGCAAGUUGUGUUUCCAAAAUUAAUAUCAACAGGAACUUAAUGAAAACAAUGUUGACUUUGAGUAAUGGAUAUUACCUGCAUAUAUGAGCUGUAUAUCUAGAAUGUGUGAAACAGAUUAACAUUGUGUUCAGUGUCAAGUGCUAGACAUUUGAUGAAGUUGUGUAGUGCACUGAAAAUUUUCUUUUGUGGAGGCCUAAACUUUCUUGUUACAUUUUUGUAAAAUGUAGAUCGACAUUUGUGCUUUAUUUUGUCAGUAUAAGUGCAUAGGCAGCAUUUCAGUGGAGACUGUAUAAAUUUUGAAGUACAGUUGUACAAAUUUGUUAUUCAUAAGAUGUCUUAGAGUAAUAUUAAAUAAGUGUUAAAUAUU